AAAAUUGGACAAUGGGCGAAAGCCUGUUCCAGCCAUGCUGCGUGGAUGAAGGAAGGCUUUGGAUCGUAAAGCUCUUUAAGAUGGGAGGAAGGGUUUGAUGCUAAUACCGUCAGUCCUUGAGGUUACCAGCAGAAGAAGCACCGUCUAACUAUGCGCCAGCGGCCCCGGUAAUACAGAGGGUGCAAGCGUUAAUUGGAAUUGCUGGGCGUAAAGCGCGCGUAGGUGGUUAAGUAAGAUGGAAGGGAAAUCCCCGGGCUCAACCUGGGAACCGCUUACAUAACUGCUGAGCUAGAGUACGGUAGAGGGUAGUGGAAUUUCCUGUGUAGCGGUGAAAUGCGUAGAUAUAGGAAGGAACACCAGAGGAGAAGGCGACUACCUGGACUGAUACUGACACUGAGGUGCGAAAGCGUGGGGAGCAAACA
rnacentral:rRNA from 1 species